UCCCUGGAGGACUAGUGGUUAGGCCACAGGUAGAGCUGCAGCCCGGGUUCGAUUCCCAGCCAGGGAA